rnacentral:rRNA from 1 species
UACGUAGGGGGCAAGCGUUGUCCGGAUUUAUUGGGCGUAAAGAGCGUGUAGGCGGCCUGACAGGUCUGCUGUGAAAACUCGAGGCUCAACCUCGAGAUGUCGGCGGAAACCGUCUGGCUAGAGUCCGGAAGAGGAGAAUGGAAUUCCCGGUGUAGCGGUGAAAUGCGCAGAUAUCGGGAAGAACACCCGUGGCGAAGGCGGUUCUCUGGGACGGUACUGACGCUGAGACGCGAAAGCGUGGGGAGCGAACAGG